AGGGUGAAGGGGUUGCAAUAAACUGGUGGCUGCGACUGUUUAAUAAAAACACAGCACUCUGCAAACACGAAAGUGGACGUAUAGGGUGUGACGCCUGCCCGGUGCCGGAAGAUUAAAUGAUGGGGUGCAAGCUCUUGAUUGAAGUCCCGGUAAACGGCGGCCGUAACUAUAACGGUCCUAAGGUAGCGAAAUUCCUUGUCGGGUAAGUUCCGACCUGCACGAAUGGCGUAACGAUGGCCACACUGUCUCCUCCCGAGACUCAGCGAAGUUGAAGUGUUUGUGAUGAUGCAAUCUACCCGCGGCUAGACGGAAAGACCCCAUGAACCUUUACUGUAGCUUUGCAUUGGACUUUGAACCGAUCUGUGUAGGAUAGGUGGGAGGCUAUGAAACCGGAACGCUAGUUUCGGUGGAGCCGUCCUUGAAAUACCACCCUGGUUUGUUUGAGGUUCUAACCUUGGCCCGUGAUCCGGGUCGGGGACAGUGCAUGGUAGGCAGUUUGACUGGGGCGGUCUCCUCCCAAAGCGUAACGGAGGAGUACGAAGGUACGCUAGGUACGGUCGGAAAUCGUGCUGAUAGUGCAAUGGCAUAAGCGUGCUUAACUGCGAGACCGACAAGUCGAGCAGGUGCGAAAGCAGGUCAUAGUGAUCCGGUGGUUCUGUAUGGAAGGGCCAUCGCUCAACGGAUAAAAGGUACUCUGGGGAUAACAGGCUGAUACCGCCCAAGAGUUCAUAUCGACGGCGGUGUUUGGCACCUCGAUGUCGGCUCAUCUCAUCCUGGGGCUGUAGCCGGUCCCAAGGGUAUGGCUGUUCGCCAUUUAAAGAGGUACGUGAGCUGGGUUUAAAACGUCGUGAGACAGUUUGGUCCCUAUCUGCCGUGGGCGUUGGAUAUUUGAAGGGGGCUGCUCCUAGUACGAGAGGACCGGAGUGGACGAACCUCUGGUGUACCGGUUGUCACGCCAGUGGCAUCGCCGGGUAGCUAUGUUCGGAAGAGAUAACCGCUGAAAGCAUCUAAGCGGGAAACUCGCCUUAAGAUGAGAUAUCCCUGGGGACUAGAUCCCCUUGAAGGGUCGUUCGAGACCAGGACGUUGAUAGGUC
rnacentral:rRNA from 1 species